GUGUUCCCCAAGAGGAUGUCCGUGGUAGUCAUGUAAGGAUCCCCAUAGAAUCGAAGAUUAAUAUCCAUCCGCGGAACGACCACAUUUCCCUCCAGUGAGACACCAACAAAGGCACCUUUGCUGCAACUAUAGGUAUAGCACAUUCCAGAACCUCUAUCUCCGGCACGAAGAUCUGCUUCAAAAACCCUUCCAACUGGUCCAGCUGCAGCACUCAAACCAGCCCCAAGGGACAGAUGCAUU
rnacentral:misc_RNA from 1 species